AACGAACGCUGGCGGCAGGCUUAACACAUGCAAGUCGAACGCCCCGCAAGGGGAGUGGCAGACGGGUGAGUAACGCGUGGGAAUCUACCCAGUUCUACGGAACAACACAGGGAAACUUGUGCUAAUACCGUAUACGCCCCAAGGGGGAAAGAUUUAUCGGAAUUGGAUGAGCCCGCGUUGGAUUAGCUAGUUGGUGGGGU
rnacentral:rRNA from 1 species